rnacentral:rRNA from 1 species
AAAGAAAGCGUAAUAGCUCGCUGGUCGAGUCGGCCUGCGCGGAAGAUGGAACGGGGCUAAACCAUGCACCGAAGCUGCGGCAGCGACACUCAGGUGUUGUUGGGUAGGGGAGCGUUCUGUAAGCCUGUGAAGGUGGCCUGUGAGGGUUGCUGGAGGUAUCAGAAGUGCGAAUGCUGACAUAAGUAACGAUAAAGCGGGUGAAAAGCCCGCUCGCCGGAAG